rnacentral:rRNA from 1 species
UACAGAGGUCUCAACCGUUGUUCGGAUUCAUUGGGCGUAAAGGGUGCGUAGGCGGUCGCGCAAGUCGGAUGUGAAAUCUCAGGGCUCAACCCUGAAACUGCAUUCGAUACUGCGUGGCUAGAGUGCUGGAGAGGAGACUGGAAUUUACGGUGUAGCAGUGAAAUGCGUAGAUAUCGUAAGGAAGACCAGUGGCGAAGGCGAGUCUCUGGACAGCAACUGACGCUGAGGCACGAAGGCCAGGGGGAGCAAACGGGG